AGGCCCUAGCUUGCUAGGUGUCCUUAGUGGCGCACGGGUGAGUAACACGUGGGAACAUACCUUAUAGUACGGAAUAACUGCGGGAAACUGUAGCUAAUACCGUAUACUCCAGUAAUGGGAAAGAUUUAUCGCUAUAAGAUUGGCCCGCGCAAGAUUAGCUUGUUGGUGAGGUAAAAGCUCACCAAGGCUUCGAUCUUUAGCUGGUUUGAGAGGACGAUCAGCCACACUGGGACUGAGACACGGCCCAGACUCCUACGGGAGGCAGCAGUAGGGAAUAUUGGACAAUGGGGGCAACCCUGAUCCAGCAAUGCAGCGUGAGUGACGAAGGCCUUAGGGUUGUAAAACUCUUUCAUCGGUGAGGAUAAUGACAGUAG
rnacentral:rRNA from 1 species